UGGGGAAUAUUGGACAAUGGGCGAAAGCCUGAUCCAGCAAUGCCGCGUGUGUGAAGAAGGCCUUAGGGUUGUAAAGCACUUUCAGUGGGGAGGAAGGGUUUGAUGCUAAUAUCAUCAAGCAUUGACGUUACCCACAGAAGAAGCACCGGCUAACUCUGUGCCAGCAGCCGCGGUAAUACAGAGGGUGCGAGCGUUAAUCGGAAUUACUGGGCGUAAAGCGUGUGUAGGUGGUUAGAUAAGUUAGAUGUGAAAUCCCCGGGCUUAACCUGGGCACUGCGUUUAAGACUGUUUAGCUAGAGUACUGUAGAGGAUAGUGGAAUUUCCAGUGUAGCGGUGAAAUGCGUAGAUAUUGGAAGGAACACCAGUGGCGAAGGCGACUAUCUGGACAGAUACUGACACUGAGACACGAAAGCGUGGGGAGCAAACAGG
rnacentral:rRNA from 1 species